AAGCCUGGGUCUGUGAACCGCUUGGAGGCAGGACCUCGUGGGUCCCAGCCCAGAACCGCGAGUACUGGGGAAAUAUUGGGGUUCCAAGGCAGGUCUCAUCUGAACAAAGGGUUUUAAAAGCAUAGGACGGACAAUUGUAGUGCCUGGGGGGUAGGAAAUCGACUUCUAAGUGAGAGACCUUCUCUAGAAGCACAGUAGAAAGAAACAAGACUGAUCACAGUUGGUGCACACAGUAGGUCCAGGUGUAUCAGGGUCACAGUUGGUGCACACAGUAGGUCCAGGUGUAUCGGGGUGGUGGCCUGGUUCUGAACACUGACUGGAAGUGGAGCUGAUGACUUGGAUGUGGCCUGUGAGAGAAGUCGGGGCUGGCUUUGGAGUUGUCAUGAACCGAGGGGACAGCUAAAGGGAGCGUGCCAACUCGCAAGCUUGCUUCAGAAUUUUUUUCAGAAAAAUGGAAGAUCUGGUCUCAGGUUUAAAAAGACCGUUGAUAAAGAUUUUUUAAAGCUU